ACGGAAGGCAGCAGCUAAGAAUAUUCCGCAAUGGACGAAAGUCUGACGGAGCGGCGCCGCGUGGAUGAUGAAGGUCGAAAGAUUGUAAAAUCCUUUUAGGAGUGAAGAAUAAGCGGUGCAGGGAAUGGUAUCGCGGUGACGGUAGCUCUUGAAUAAGCAACGGCUAAUUACGUGCCAGCAGCCGCGGUAACACGUAAGUUGCGAGCGCUGUUCGGAAUUAUUGGGCGUAAAGGGUAUGUAGGCGGUCGUGCAAGCUUGGUGUGAAAUGCAGGGGCUCAACCACGGAACUGCAUUGAGAACUGCAAGACUAGAAUUAGUGAAGGGCAGCCGGAAUUCCAGGUGUAGGGGUGAAAUCUGUAGAUAUCUGGAAGAACACCAAUGGCGAAGGCAGGCUGCUAGCAGAUGAUUGACGCUGAGGUACGAAAGUGCGGGGAGCAAACAGGAUUAGAUACCCUGGUA
rnacentral:rRNA from 1 species